AUCUGCUUCGAGUUCCAAAGAUCGUCGCGUGAUUCCUUGCGGAGCUCACAUACGCGUGUUAGCCCACAAUUUCGUAUAAUUAUUUCUUCAAUUACAAAUGCUCCUUCCCGAUCGCUUCCUGCGUCCCCGAGCAUGGCCGAUUCGGUGAAGAUAACGAUAAUGUUCUUACCAUAUACGGUUUAACCGCAAAGUCGAGGAAUAAGCAGCGAGUUUAGAUCGUACGUAUAUACAUAGGUAUACACAUAUGUAUAGAUACAUGUCCCGCGUAUGUAACAUCGGAAACGUAUCGAUGAAAUUAUUCAAUUUGCCUUCGAGUGAUUCUUAUCUCGCGCGCCGCAUCGAACAUUGCUCCGUAACGUAACAACUCGCUUUCGGCGAACGCGUACGUAUAGGUACGCGUUUAUUACAUAACCGGAUAUGACAUUAUGCAAAAGCGAACGAGUGUCUCUUUUCGCGUGCGUUUUACGACAGUCCACUGAGCCUCGACAGACUUUCGACAAUCAAAAGCACGUAUUUUCCGUAAGUCGGUCGAGCGUGCAUGCGACUUGUCAGAGGACGUAGUAGAUACUUACCUACAUAGAUAUAUUCAUAAAUAAACGAACAUAGGAGAAAUAUUUGAAUAAAACCAUCGACAACAUAGAAGCAUAACGUUGAAAAGAUAAAGAUUUCUUUCUUCAGUCCGAUAGAUUCGAUCGGCAAAUUCGUGCGAGAGGCACGCGAGUAAUUAAUUUGCGAACGUAUUCGCGUGUAGGCACGAUUGUUCGCGGUAACGAGCGAAAGUUGCAUAACUCAUCGAUACCGCGGUCGACGGACACUCCCCCAUUAUGAAAUUCCAGCUUAAUAGGCUUCCGGCUGAACGUGCGUGCCUGAUCGGGCCCAACGGCCUAAAUUCCAGCCUAUGCUGCUCUAAUUAUUAUUCCAGUGGUCGCGCUUAACUUUUUCUCAAUCGACUUUUUCAUCGACGAUCCAACCGAGAACGUGCUCAAAAUAUGCGCCUGCCACGAACGAUUCCGUAAGAGUUGACGUUUACUAAACGAUACUGACAGCUGCGCUGGUAGUUCGAGACGGUGCGUUUCGCCCACGCUUGGAUCGUAACGAGCGACAUCGACAUAAAUCAACUUUUUAAUGUAUUUUCAGAUACUUUCCGCAGCUACUACUAUGUUGACGUACGUAACAAAUAAGGAGACACGAUGGCAUUAAAGAAAAUAAUAAACUCACGAGAGGAAAUAUCCCAUCAUUCGUUAUCCCUUAUUUACGUAUCGCUGAAUUGAAAACAACGAAGCAACGAGAUGAGUCGUAAGACAAGAGAGUUGUUGGCGUUCACGACACAUAACGGAGGUACCUACUCUCCAUGGCGAUAAUUAAUUCGAUAAAGGCUCGACUUCGAAUGCCAAGGGAAUGCGGUGAUACAUAGCUAACAGUCAAUUAGGGGCAACCGCAACGAAUCAAUCGACGAUAGAAGGUAGAAGUGGUGGGUAAGGGAGGAGUAGGAGAAUCGAGAUCGAGGACUCGAUGUUCGUGGGGUCGAUGCUAAUUCCUCGGGUCGACAUCGUGCCCGUGCUCGCGUUCGCCCAUUGGUCCAUACCGGUGGCGGCCCCUUUUGUUCUUUUCACUCAAGAACCGACGAUAUAUGUGGAGCAACCUGGCGACGAUCGUGAUAUGCCAGCCGGCGCCCACGCUCCUGGGCAACUUUAGACGCGUUGUGCCACCUUCGCCGCUAAACCUUCUGGCCCUGACCUGCCUCGAUCUCUCCCCUACCUUUUCCUAAAGCUACGCCCUCUUAUACUUUCCCCCUUACCGCCCUUCGCCGCGUUCGUUCCCCGUCAUAACUCUGUCAUCUACUAUAUAUGAUAACCGAACGAACGGUAUCAUUUGAAGAAUCCAUUCUUCGUUAGUAGACUACGUGUUCGUAUAUCGAGCACGUGUAAAAGGUGGUACGAUUUAAAUAAGGGAGGAGCAUCGUUUCGGUUCUCGACGAUCACGUUGUAUGACAUCUAACGAGACGCAGGUACAUAGCGACGACAGUCGUAGUACGUUGCAACAGGCAAGAAAAGAAGGCCCGAUGGCUGACGAUUGCAUUCGCCAUCCACUGCAAUCUCUCUCCCACUACGAUCGACCUGUCCUCCUACUCUAAUGCCGUUUGUUGGGCCACCUCUUUCCGGGAAGAAACAUCAUCGUCGACCAUUGGAUGCUACGAAAAUCGAGCUACCGAUUGGCCAACAGCCGGUCGUACCUCGUUUAGAAAUCUUGUGACUUUGCGCUAAGAACGCAAGAUCUUAUCUUACGCGAUACGUCCCGAAUGCGGAUCGACUCGGUCUCGUCGUGGAUUCAAAUACGACAUCACAUUUUAUCCUAGGUAUAAAGAACACACGCGUUACAAAACGCAGAGGUAACCUUUUGUUUGGUGGUUAUUACGAUACAUUUUGUAAAAUCGAAAGGAGAAAAGUUAUCUGUGCGUGCGAGUACGGCGCAUGCACGAAGGUGUCGCUUUUCAUUGCGGUCAAGCUAGAGUUAUUCGAGAUACGAGGAAGUAUUGAAGUCGAAGUCGACAGGCAGGGAGAUCGAUAGGAACGAACAGGAUUGAUGAGGAGAAAGGUGGUGAGCCGUUGAGCCAAGAGCAGCGUGCCGGUGAACGAGGAACGUCCGCGAAAAAGAACAGGAAUAGGAAUGUCGGUUAAUUUGUAACCACGUUUAUCUAGCACGAUACCGGUGCGUACAUUUUUCUUUCUUGCACUCCAUAAGCAGUCGCACAUACAUACAUAGGCACGCGCGCGAGAAAGAGAGAGAGAGAGAGAGAGAGAGAGAAAACGAUUACGCGCGAAACGACUUCGAUCAUAUGUAGGUGGUAAGUCGAAAAGUUCCUCGUAAUAUCAUCGAAUGUGUUCUAAUCGCGAAACGUUUGUCGUGAAAACAAAAUUAUUAUCGAUAAACAAAUUUUCGAUUGAAAAGAAAAAUAAAAAAAAAAGUAUACAGAUAAGAAGAAAUAUUACGAUAGAAAUAUACACGGUAACGGAAGACAAUAAAAUGUUUCUCAGAACGUAACCGGCAUUUUUAGAAACGAUAAAAUAUUUUCUAGUUUUACCGAUCUCAUUCCUAAAGACCGGUGAGAGAUUGGUUAAGCUAGAUUCUUCUUGCGUGUACGAAAUAGCGCCUUUUUACGGCACGUUUCUUUAGACAGCAGCAAUACUUUUAGUUCCUAUUUGAGCAGAGCUUAAGAUAGAUUAUACCGGUCGCCGUCUCUGGCGCCAGCACCGUACGAUUUCCCUCUUAAAGAACACUUUUUCGUUGAACCGCUUACGUUGACGCACCACUUUCGUGUACGACGGGUAAACGUGAAACGGGCUGUACGCGAUCGCGACACCGGCGAAAGCUGCAACAAACUUCUACUAUACCGGUAUUCAAAGUACCGGUAUAUACGACUUAUGUCUCAGCCGUGACAGGUAUUUACUACUAGGCACGGAAAUACGUUGAGCUCGUUCGUGUACUCUACGCGUAUUAGAACCGUUUUUCCAGAAAUCUAAAGAAUGCAUGAAAUCUUCGGUAUGAAACUAACCGUAAGAAUAGAGAAGGUUCAUUAUAUAAGUAGUGGCUUCCUGUAAUCACAUUCCACGCAUUCUGAAAAGUAUCAUUACCCGACACCUUAAGUAGAAUCUCCUACGUAAGAAUAUCUUUGACCAUUAUUUGAUUUCCUUUGAAAAUAACGAUGAUACGCGUCUAAUCAGGAAGUCCGAAGAAUAACGAAUAUUGUAUUUCAGUUGGGUCUAUAUUUUAUAAAUGAUUAACUUUAUAUCUUCCUGGAAUCUUUGAUGAGUAAAGGAGACAGUGAAUGUCUGCAAAAGGAUAGUUAAGUCGGCAUUACCUAGUUGAAACGAUCCAAGUUCCAAGUAGUUUGGUAUUUACUAAAGUAGAUACAGUAGCAAUGUGUUCCAGAAAUGGAAACAAAAUGGAUAGGAAUUGUAUACCCCGAGAUCAAGAAGACUCCCAGCUGAACACCUUCGCAUAAGGAGACGACUCUAGGUCUUUCCGUCCUCUAGGAUCACAAAACGCGAAACGACGAAGGAUAAGAAUGGGGCGUGGAGGGAAGAAGAGACGCGUAAGGAAAGCGAAUUUACGAGAUGAUUGUCCGGUUGCCCUAUUCAUUCGGUACGGAAUCUCUAAGAGGAUCUCUAUUGUAGAUUAUUGCGCCAUUGUCCAUUGUCGCCUCUAAACCCUUUCUUCUAACUUACUCGCUUCGGUCUUUCGUCGACUGCAAAGUAAAAAAAAAAAUCUUGUCAAAGACGAGGAGAAUCCGCGAUAGCAACUCGAUCAAAUGAUUUCUUUUUUCGUACGUUCACUACUCAAUUAUUAAAAUAGGUAAGCACGCUACUUAGACACGAUUCGCCAAGUACUUCCGGUAAUAUUAACUUUCAAAUUGCGAGCGAUUCGUGCUAGCUUUACACUUGACACUUCUCUCGAGAUAUUCCUGUCGGACGUUCACUCACGCAAGAUGUAUCAAAGAAAAUUAUGGUCCAGCGUCAAGACGUCUACAUUUGCCAAGAGAAAUGUCAGAGAGAAACUUCGUGCACAAAGUGUCAAGUCCAAGCCCGGUUUGGACAAAGAAAAUUACCGCGACUCGAGUGUCAGGACCGUUUAUAUAAGCUGAGAAAUGUCAGAGUGAAGCGACACGCGGUGAGUAUGUUGCCGAAUACUAAUUUU